AUUGAACGCUGGCGGCAGGCCUAACACAUGCAAGUCGAACGGUAGCACAAAGGAGCUUGCUCCUUGGGUGACGAGUGGCGGACGGGUGAGUAAUGUCUGGGAAACUGCCUGAUGGAGGGGGAUAACUACUGGAAACGGUAGCUAAUACCGCAUAACGUCGCAAGACCAAAGAGGGGGACCUUCGGGCCUCUUGCCAUCAGAUGUGCCCAGAUGGGAUUAGCUAGUAGGUGAGGUAAUGGCUCACCUAGGCGACGAUCCCUAGCUGGUCUGAGAGGAGGACCAGCCACACUGGAACUGAGACACGGUCCAGACUCCUACGGGAGGCAGCAGUGGGGAAUAUUGCACAAUGGGCGCAAGCCUGAUGCAGCCAUGCCGCGUGUAUGAAGAAGGCCUUCGGGUUGUAAAGUACUUUCAGCGGGGAGGAAGGUGAUACGGUUAAUAACCGUGUCAAUUGACGUUACCCGCAGAAGAAGCACCGGCUAACUCCGUGCCAGCCGCCGCGGUAA
rnacentral:rRNA from 1 species